rnacentral:lncRNA from 1 species
UUCGUGCCAUAUGCGCUUAGACUUUCCCUUUUUCACCCCUUUUGAUUCCCGGUUCAAUAUGAGUUCUCGAAAGUAUUCGUUUCCAUGUAAAAGAAAACUAUCCCAAUUGUUGACCAAGCAAGGUCACUGAAACAAUUACUAAACACUUACUAAAACGCGAUAGUGUCCAAUGAAGACCAACCCGUAAGCUCCCCCUACUUUACUUACAAGGCUUUCAGCACCUUACUUUACAGGCAUUUACCUCCUUACUUUACAGCUUGUCCAACUACAUUUCUUGCUCCAAAUCAAAGAAAGACAAAACAACACCUAAAUAUUCGACCUGAAGAGGAGACCACUAACCAAUCUCUGUUCAUUUAUUUAUUUCUAUCAAAAGCUUUCUUUUCUGAAUAUAUUUCUAGUUAUAUGAACAGAUCACUCCUAAAUUCAAUAAAGACUGUCUUUUGACGAAUGGGAUGUGGGAAUUUUCUAUGAUAGAGAUCGGUAUUAUCUAUUAGGUUGCCGUAUGCUACUUCCUUACAAUUCUUCGCAUCGAGCAAAGAGAAAGAGAAUGUGAACAGUUAUAAACUCAACUAAGCAAGGGCACACGCUUUCUUUCGAGUCUCGCCCUCAGUCUCUUGGCACCCUAAAGCAAUGGAAUCCAAAGGUUGUAAGGUACUACUCUGUCUCGUCGGUCAUCCCCUGAUGAUUCGGCCCUCUUGCACAAACCCGGCUGUUCUCGUGGUGCUAACCCGUUGGCUUUGGGGGGAGGAGAACUCCGUGCGGGCAAUCUCCGGCACCCUUUGGGAUAACUAGAGUACAGAAGCCAGUAUAAAAGCUAGCAAGUUUACGCUCAUAGAGAUAGAGGAGAGAAAGUCAAAAACACGACAGAUAGAAAGAGUCAGAGCGAGAGCUAAAUCAUAGAUAGAGAAGCCCUUUCAAGGAAUCCGGAGAUCCUAUUCAUAAGAGCGGAGCCACUUUACCAGAGAGAUAGACGAUGUUUCCACUGGUACCACUUGAGAAUCGCAUUUGACGUUGGGGCUAAACCUCUGUUGGCCCAUUAGGAGUCUUUCACUCUCACUC